CUGGCUCAGGAUGAACGCUAGCGACAGGCUUAACACAUGCAAGUCGAGGGGCAGCACGGGAGUAGCAAUACUUGGUGGCGACCGGCGCACGGGUGAGUAACGCGUAUGCAACCUACCUAUCAGAGGGGAAUAACCCGGCGAAAGUCGGACUAAUACCGCAUAAAACAGGGGCACCGCAUGGUGAUAUUUGUUAAAGAAAUUCGCUGAUAGAUGGGCAUGCGUUCCAUUAGGUAGUUGGUGAGGUAACGGCUCACCAAGCCGACGAUGGAUAGGGGAACUGAGAGGUUGGUCCCCCACACUGGUACUGAGACACGGACCAGACUCCUACGGGAGGCAGCAGUGAGGAAUAUUGGUCAAUGGGCGGGAGCCUGAACCAGCCAAGUCGCCGUGAAGGGAGAAGGAUCUAUGGUUCGUAAACUUCUUUUGCAGGGGAAUAAAGUGCAGGACGUGUCCUGUUUUGUAUGUACCCUGAGAAUAAGGAUCGGCUAACUCCGUGCCAGCCGCCGC
rnacentral:rRNA from 1 species